rnacentral:lncRNA from 1 species
CCUCAAAUGGUCUCACUGCUCUGAGCCCCGGUUUGCCCAUCUCCAGAAUGGCGAUGGCACCUACCACCUGGUAUUGCUGAGAGGGUAAGGGAGCAAGGCUGGCCCCGAGGAGGUUCUCUGCCAGCCUCUGUGCCCUGCCCUUUGUAAGCUCCGUACUUCUAGGGGGUCUGCAAUUGUGGACUGCGAGAAUCAGAGGAGCAAGUGACACAGUGACACAGAGCUGUAAUCUGGAGUCAGAAGAGGAUGAGACACAGAUAUAAGAGGAAGAGAAGACCAUGUAAAAACAAGGAAUGCCUGGAGCCACCAGAAACCGGGAAAGAAAAGGGAGGAUUCUUCCCUGGACCUUGCUGACAAGUUGAUUUUGGACUUCUGGUGUCUAGGACUGUAAAAGGGCUCCAUGCAGUGAGGAAGCCCAGUCAGCCCCAUGGACAGGCCUAUGUAGAGAGGAAGGAACCAUCGGCACCAAAAUGUUGGCAUGUACAUAAGCCCUCUCCAGGAUGCUCCAGCCCCGCAUCUUACCUGGUGGACAGGUUCUGGUUGGCAUUGGAGACAGGGAAGUCUCCAUUCAUUUGGUGGCUUUUCUGAAUCCCAGAGGAACCUACACUUUCGAUAGAGAGACAUCACGAAGACUGACCUCCCAGGCUUCAGUCUCAGGUCUCCAAAAUGAAAUGUUAUUGCAGCCCAUCUUUGUGUGAUGGUG